rnacentral:misc_RNA from 1 species
UGGGAUUAAAGGGCUGUGCCA